rnacentral:lncRNA from 1 species
AUGCGCAGCCCUCGGGCCGGCCCGGGCGCACCUUUUCUGUCUCCUGCCACAUUGUGAGCGCUCCGCCGCCCAGAUAACCGCCGGCUCCCCGCGCCGCCCCCGCCUUCUCCCACUCCGCCCACUGCCGGGAGCCCAGGGGAUGAUGCAGCAAGAAGACCCACACCAGAUGAGGGCGCCUUGAUAUUGGAUUUCCCAGCCUCCAGAACUGUAAGAAAUAAAUUUCUAUUCUUUUUAAAUUACCCAGUCUGUGGUAUUCUGUUACAGCAACACAAAAUAGACUCCAACAAGCACCCCACUCCCGUGACCCAAAAUCCUGCAGGGAGUAAGAUGACCUGAGUCUGGGACAAGGUUAGGGAAAAGAUUGAAACUUUCUAAGCAAAGGGGUCCAAGAGCUGACUCUGUCCUUGUCCCCUUCCAAAAACAGAUGCUUGACUUUUAUUACAUCUGGUCUCUGGACUCUAGGGAUAAUUUUGGCAACUUUGGGUCAUGUUUUUCAAUAAUGAGUUUUUUUCAGUGAAUAAACACUAAAAACAAUACCAUAUUUCAGCAGGUAGAGAGAAAAUCUUCAGGUAGAACAGGAGGAAAUAAGCAGAAGUAAUAAAAGGAGAGACAGAUUCAAUGUGAGAAAGACCAUGGUAUCCAUAGGAGCUGGUGAGCCUGGGACAUCUCAGUGAGGUCAAUGUCUCGCUUUGCCUUUUUAGACAUUUGAUCCGUUCCCCACCCUCUGCUAGUCAGAGCUAUCCAGCUUAGAAGAGGGGUGUGCAGAAUGAUGGCUAAUGAAUGAGGUGACUUUCCCAGUGUCUGUGACUCUCCACCCACAGGCCAACUCUCUGAAGGAUUCCUAGUAACUAAGUAUGGUUUUUGCAGGGAGGUUAUGUCCCUUAUCUCUUUUUCUUUCUUUCUUUUUUGAUUCUCCUGCCUCAGCCUCCUGAGUAGCUGGGAUUAUAGAUGCGCACCACCACACCCGGCUAAUUUUUGUAUUUUUAGUAGAGACGGGGUUUUGCCAUGUUGGCCAGGCUGGUCUCAAACUCCUGACCUCAGGCAAUCCGCCCGCAUCAGCCUCCCAAAGUGCUAGGGUUACAGGCGUGAGCCAUCGCAUCCGGACUUAUGUCCAUUAUCUCAUCAGAUCUUCCAACAACCCUGCAAGGCAGACAGGAUAGAUAUUAUUCCCAAUGAAGGAAAUUCAGGCCAAGGAAUGUUUAAUGGCUCAGGCAAAGUCACCCAGCUCAGUAAACAACGGAGCCAAAGCAGGCCCCAGGCUCCCUGACUCCCAGCCUGCUGGUCUUUCAGAGGCUUUGACAGGCCUGCUCUGAGAAUCCGCCAUUUAUUGCCAUGUAGUGAAAACAGGUGCCCUUAGCAUGUGAUGGAGAAUAAUUCUAACAUUCAGUUCUACUUCUCUAUCUCCUUUAUUUAAUGUUUUUUUCCUUCUUCUUUCUUUCUUUCUCUCCCCAGAAGCCUGGGACUUGCCUCUGUGAUCUGGUGCUUUGGAGGGCCUUGGGCCUCAGGGCUAGCAAGGUCCCUUUCUGGAGAUUCCAGUUCCUCUGCCCGCCCUCCUUUACCUCUUUCUCCUCACACAUCUGUCUGAGGGAUGGGGAUGAGGGCUGCCAACCAAUGUUACCACUUGACAGACCACAAGAGGGCUGGUUCCAGUGCCUCCCUUGUUCAGCUGCUGACACUGCAGCUUGGCAGUCAUUGAAGGCAAUAUUUAGCUCCUACAUCUGACCUGAUUGGAAGAUCAGGCUUCUGUCGUCCUGGUUUCCUGGCCUUGGAUAGUUCUUCACUAACUUUUAUUCAUUAAGGCAGUGGGCAGAAAGCAGCAGAACCCUGUUUUUUCUUUUUUUGGGGUUUUUGUUGUUGUUGUUGUUGUUGUUUUGUUUUUUUUUGAAACAGGGUCUCCCUCUGUCACCCAUGCUGGAGUGCAGAGGUUCUGUCAUAACUCACUAUAGCCUCGACCUCCUGGGCUCAAGCAAUCUUCCCACCUCAGCCUCCUGAGUAGCUAGGGACCACAGGUGCAUGCCACUAUGCCUAACUAAUUUUUGUAUUUUUUUGUAGAGAUGGGGUUUUGCCAUGUUGCCCAUGCUGGUUUUGAACUCUAGAACUCAAGCAAUCAGCUGGCCUCAGCCUCCCAAAGUACUGAGAUUACAGGUGUGAGCCACUGUGCCUGGCCAGAACCUGUUUUUUGUUUGUUUGUUUUUGUUUUGUUUGUUUGAGGCGGAGUUUUGCUCUUGUUGCCCAGGCUGGAAUGCAAUGGCGCGAUCUCGGCUCACCGCAACCUCUGCCUCCUGGAUUCAAACAAUUCUCCUGCCUCAGCCUCCCAACCAGCUGGGAUUACAGGCAUGCGCCACCACGCCCAGCUAAUUUUGUAUUUUUAGUAGAGAUGGGAUUUCACCAUGUAGGUCAGGCUGGUCUCGAACUCCCAACCUCAGGUGAUCUGCCCGCCUCGGCCUCCCCAAGUGCUGGGAUUACAGACGUGAGCCACCGCGCCCAGCCCAGAACCUGUUUUUUAAUUUAAAAUUCUUAUUUAAAAGUUCUGUACAUUUUGAGAAUUCUUAAAACCUUCACACAUUUAAUUUAAAUAGCAGCAGAGAUAUCUGGUUCCUGGUAAUGUGAACAGGAUGGCUUGAUACAAGCUCCCUGCUCACUGCAUUUCCUCACUUCCUAAAUUCCUAGGGAUGUACCUCCAGUGAAUAAUAGUUUUUACCACCUGUACAUAUACAGGGUCAGCGGCCAUGGCUCCUUGCUCACCCAUUAACUAAGAUCACAUCCUACAUACAGUACCAGACUUAGAGCCAGAGCCCUGGUCAUGGCCUCCUAGGUUCUCACACUUGACUUUUACUCAAUCAUUUCACCAUUUAGGCUUUAUAAAAAGGGGAGACUGGCCGGGCGCGGCGGCUCAUGCCUGUAAUCCCAGCACUUUGAGAGGCUGAGGGAGGUGGAUGACCUGAGGUCAGGAGUUUGAGACCACCCAACAUGGUGAAACCCUGUCUCUACUAAAAAUACAAAAAUUAGCCAGGUAUAGUGGCACAUGCCUGUAGUCCCAGCUACUCUGAGGCAGCUGAGGCAGGAGAAUCGCUUGAACCUGGGAGGCGGAGGUUGCAGUGAGCCGAGAUCAUGCCACUGUACUCCAGCCUGGGUGACACAGUGAAACUCCAUCUCAAAUAAAUAAAUAAAUAAAAUGGGGGAAUUAUAUGACUGUUAGGGUCCUCCAGAUCUGAUACCCAGGACUGUAAUCUAAAGACUUGAUUAUGUUCAUUAAUACAUGGCAAUUUCAUUCCUUUCCUAAGAAUUACUAUCCAAAGAUCAUCCCUAAGCCCUUCCUACAAGAAACUGCCCCUUUUACAGAAUGAAUAAAGUUGUCCUAGAUUCCCGUUUUUUCCUCACUUUUUCUCAUAUCUCUAAGUGACAGUAUCCGGAGACAGCUCAGAAAGCUGGAUUUUUAGCUUUUCGUCAUAGGGCUUGUAUAUGUACAUGCAUGCAUGCACAAAUGUAUGUAUAUGUUCAUUCUUAAAGGGAUAUGGGCCAUGGGCACCUUCACUCUGUGGCCCCCCACCUCCCACCAGCCCUACUUGAAUUUUAGUAAAUAGUAAUUAAAUGCCAGGACCAGGCACAGUGGCUCACACCUGUAACCCCAGCAUUUUUGGAGGCUGAGGUGGGUGGAUCACCUGAGGUCAGGAGUUCGAGACCAGCCUGGCCAACAUGGUGAAACCCUAUCUCUACUAAAAAUACAAAAAUUAGCCGGGUUUGGUGGCACACAACUGUAAUCCCAGCUACUUGGGUGGCUGAGGCAGGAGAAUCACUUGAACCUGAGAGACGGAUGUUGCAGUGAGCCAAGAUCGCACAACUGCACUCCAGCCUAGGCGACAGAGCAAGACUCCAUCUCGAAAGAAAGAGGGAAGGAAGGAAGGGAGGAAGGAAGGAAGGAAGGAAGGAAGGAAGGAAGGAAGGAAAAAGAAGAGAAAAGGAACUCCAUCUCUACUAAAAAUACAAAAAAAUUAGCCAGGCAUGGUGGCGGGCACCUGUAAUCUCAGCUACUUCAGGAGUCUGAGACAGGAGAAUUGCUUGAACCUGGGAGGCCCUUGCAGUGAGCUGAGAUUGUGCCACUGCACUCAGCCUGGGCAACAAGAGUGAAACUCCGCCUCAAUGAUAAAUAAAUAAAUAAAUAAAUAAAUAAAUAAAUAAAUAAAUAAAUGCCAGGAUGCCUAGAAGAACAAAAGAGUAUGUACUAAGAGGCCAGAUAUAUGAGUGCAGCUGUAGUGAUAAGGAGGCCAUUGGGAUAGCCAAUGUCACAUAGGUCUAAAGUUUGGUUUUAGCUAGAGCUUUCUUCUACCCUAAUACUGCCCCCAUGUCCUGACAGCGGGUAUUGCAGCAAAUCCUGGACUGCAGCCAGAAGCUCUGGUCUCUACAUCAGCUUCUCCAUUUGAAACAUCUCAGAAUUUGAAUUUUGACUACUCUGGUGUUAACAUCAAAAUGCAUUUCAUGGGCCGGGCCUGGUGGCUCACGCCUGUAAUGCAGCACUUUGGGAGGCCAAGGCAGGCGGAUCACGAAGUCAGGGGAUCGAGACCAUCCUGGCCAACAUGGUGAAACCCUGUCUCUAUUAAAAAUACAAAAAAUUAGCCGGCGUGGUGGCAGGCACCUGUAGUCCCAGCUAUUCAGGAGGCCUCAGCAGGAGAAUUGCUUGAAGCCAGGAGGUAGAGGUUGCAGUGAGCUGAGAUCGUGCCACUGCACUCCAUCCUGGGCGACAGAGCGAGUUUCCAUCUCAAAAAACCAAAAUCAAACAAACAAAAAAACCCACAAAAAACCAAAAUGCAUUUUAUAGUGUUAAAGAAAACAUAUUUAUGUGGCAAUUUCUACACAUUUUUCUUCUGCAUUACUUCAUUUAAUCCUUCUCUCAAUCCUGAGAGCAAAGGACAGAAAAUGUUGUUCCCACUGUUUUCCACUGUUUGGUUUUGGUUUGUUUCCUUUCUUUUUUUUUCUUUGAGACAGGCUCUUGCUCUGUCACUCAAGCUGGAAUGCAGUGGCAUGAUCAUAGCUCACUGUAGCCUUGACUUCUUGGGCUCAAGUGAUCCCACCUCAGCCUCCCAAGUAGCUGGGACUACAGGCACACACCACCACAUCUGGCUAAUUCUUUUUUAUUUUUAGUAUAGACGAGGUCUCACUAUGUGACCAGGCUGGUCUCCAACUCCUGAGCUGAAGCUAUCCUCCUGCCUCAGCCUCCCAAAGUGCUGGGAGAUCUGGCCCUUGUUUUUUGUUUUUGUUUUUGUUUUUUAUGAGAUGGGUGGCUGUUGCCCAGACUGGAGUCCCGUGACACGAUCACAGCUCACUGCAGCCUCGACCUCCCCAGGCUCAGGUGAUCCUCUCACUUCAGUUUUUUUUGUAUUUUAGUAGAGACAGAGUUUUGCCAUGUUGCCCAGGCUGUUCUCGAAUUCCUGAGCUCAAGGGAUCUGUCUGCCUCAGCCUCCCAAAGUGCUAGGAUUACAGGCAGGAGUGAGCCACUGUGCCUGGCCCCUUGCUGUUUUUUUGUUUUGUUUUGUUUUUGUUUGUUUGUUUUACAGCAAAUAAAAAUGCAGUCUGGAUUUUAAGGGCCACACAGCAGCAAGAACUAAAACCUGGGUCUCCAAGGUCCAAGUCCAGGACUUCUCUAUGACACCCUACUGCAGCCCUUUGCUGGAUACCAUACAAAGCAAAUUGAGCAGAUGUGUUCUCUGCCCUCUGAAAGUUUGGACUCAAAUGGACAGCCACAAUUCUGGCAAACAUAAAAGGACAAAGUGAUUUAGUGUCAACUCACAUACGCAAUAAAUAACUGAGUUAAAUAGAUAAGGAAAGGCAUGUUCACCUGGUCUACUGAUAUUUUUUAAAUUCCAGUUGAGUAGAGAGCAAUGUUAAUAAGACUAAGGUUUUGGGCCAGUCCCAUUUUUGCCUACUUGCUUUGCACCUGGAAAAAUAUUUGUAACUGCAUGCAAACUCUUUCCCCUCCUCGUCUUCAACAAUCUGUAAACUUUCCCUGAGCAGCUACCAAGUGUAACACAAAGUGGGAAUGAAGGACCAUUAAGAAAUCAUCUCUGUGCCAUGCGCGGUGGCUCAAGCCUAUAAUCCCAGCACUUUGGGAGGCCGAGGCGGGUGGAUCACCUGAGCUCGGGAGUUCAAGGCCAGCCUGGCCAAUAUGGUGAAACCCUGUCUCUACUAAAAAUACAAAAAAAAAAAAAAAAAAAAAAUAGCUGGAUAUGAUGGCAUGUACCUGUAGUCCCAGCUACUCAGGAGGCUGAGGCAGAAGAAUCGCUUGAACCCAGGAGGCAGAGGUUGCAGUGAGCUGAGAUUGCUCCAUUGCACUCCAGCCUGAGAAACAAAAGCAAAACUCUAUCCCCACCCCCCCCAAAAAAAAGGAAGGAAAAGAGAAGAAAAAAAGUCAUCUGUGCCCUCGAGCAACAUCUUUAACCAUUCGCCUAAUUCAAACCACUGGGAUGAAAAUGUAUAUCCUGUAUAUACCAUCUCUACUGCUGGGAAAAAAGACACGUCAACUCAAUACCCAUCCUAUUUUUAGACGGCCUGAGAUUCGUCCUUAUCCAUGCAGGGCAGUCGGGUAGGACAAUGAAGAGGUGGACUUCUGAAUUUGAGAGAAAUUGGUCUUAUCCCAGAGAAGUGAGGCCACCACCCACCUGCAAUAGCUUGGCUUCCUGGAUCCCUAAGCAAAGACAGAGUCUUGCUCUGUCACUCGGGCUGGAGUACAGUGACACAAUCACGGUUCACUGCAGCCUGGACCUCCCAGGCUCAAGUGAUCCCCCUGCUGCAGCCUCCUGAGUAGCUGGGACUACAGGCCUGUGCCACCAUGUCCAGAGGGUAGCAGACAAGCAAGAGGGUGGAAUUUGCAGCAUCUCAUCUUGGUGAGACAGUUGGAAGACUUUUCUGCCAAUUAUAGUGGUUAAACACUGACUCAACAUCAAACAACGGCAUGAGGGGUCAGAGCCUUCAUUCGUGGACAAGUUUCAAAAACAUGGGAGCACCACCUGUCAUGAGCAAUUUAGUCAGAACAGAAGAGAAUAGAUCACACCCAACAAGACAGAAAAAGCUGCUUUCUGGAGAGGGCGGGAGCUAAUAUUUCCUAACACGGUGAAAUUGUGAAGUGCUUUUUGCAGCCCUUCAUAAUUUCAUCAUCCAAAGGGUUUGCUUUUGGAAUUCUUAGACACUUAAUUCUGUCCCUGCUUUCCGUGUCACUUCCACGGGACACUGAAUUUGGGAAGAGGGAGACCUCACCAAUGAUGGGAAGAACAGAUUGGGGGCUGGCGCCCUUUUGGGUUUGCCAUGUGAACAUCCUCCUGGAACAGUCUCCAUUCUGUCCCAGCAAGACACACUCUGCUCUGUGAAGAACCCAGGUGGGAAAAAAAAAAAAAUCUAUGAGGCCACAGUGGAAAUGCAGCUCAGCAGGACUCUCAGGUACCCCAAAAUUGUCCCAUCUGACAACUCACCACAUUCUAUUUAUUUAUUUAUUUAUUUAUUUUGAGAUGGAGUCUCACUGUGUCACCCAGGCUGGAGUGUAGUGGCGUGAUCUAGGCUCACCGCAGCCUACGCCUCCCAGAUUCAAGCGAUUCUCCUGCCUCAGCCUCCCAUGUAGCUGAGACUACAGGCAUGCGCCACCACACCCAGCUAAUUUUUGUAUUUUUAGUAGAGAUGGGGUUUCGCCAUGUUGCCCAGGCUGGUCUCAAACUUCUGACCUCAGGUGAUCCACCCCCGCCCCUCAGCCUCCCAAAGUUCUGGGAUUACAGUCAUGAGACACUGCACCUGGCCAACACAUUCUGUUUUCAUCAUUAGUGCCUGUCCUCCCUGCUAGCUCAUGGGCUCCCCCAGAGCAGGCAUGUUUGCCCUAGUCACCAUCAAAACUGUCUUAGUACCUGUCACGGUGCCUGGCACAUAGCAGUUAUUCAGUAAAUGUUUGUUGAAUAAAUCAACUAUAAACAUCAAAAUGAUUCCCUUAAAAAGGUCUUCAUUCUUGUUCAGAUGUAGAGAGUUACAUUACAAACACUUGUGUGCUGGGGAUAGGAAGGGACACUGUUGGGUAAUAAUAAGUGCUUGAAACAUGUGGGAGGGCCCUGGAAAAUAGCCCAAAAAGUUCACAUUGUAUCUGAUAAGCAACAGGGAGCUACUGCAGGUUCUUCAGGUCACCAGUAGGCAAGCAGGUGGUGGCUUUCCAGGCUGAAAAGUGUAUUUGAUCUGGAAGAUAGUAGGAUCACAGACAAACAGUGAGUCUUGGAGUAGCCUGAUCACAGUGGCAAGCUCAAGAGACAAUUUUAUGGCUGAGGGCUGAAUGUUUCAGCUGGGUGGGUGUCAAGAAACCAGCAAGACUCCAGGCAUGGUGGCUCAUGCCUGUAAUCCCAACACUUAGGGAGGCCGAGACAGAGGAUCCCUUAAGCCCAGGAGUUUGAGACCAGCCUGGGCAGUAUAAGGAAGCCCUGUCUCUACAAAAAUAAAAACAUAACAAAAUUAGCCAAGUGUGGUGGCGUGUGCCUGUGCUUCUAGCUCCUUCAGAGGCUGAAGUGGGGAGGAUCACUCGAGCCUGGGAGGUUGAGGCUUCACUGAGCUGUGAUCAUGCUGCUGCACUCCAGCCUGGGCGACAGAGUGAGACCCUGUCUCAAAAAACAAACAAACAAACAAGAAACCCAGCAAGAAUUAAGAAUUCUGGUGAGC